UACGUAGGGGGCAAGCGUUGUCCGGAAUCAUUGGGCGUAAAGAGCGUGUAGGCGGCCCGGUAAGUCCGCUGUGAAAGUCCAGGGCUCAACCCUGGGAUGCCGGUGGAUACUGUCGGGCUCGAGUCCGGAAGAGGAGUGUGGAAUUCCUGGUGUAGCGGUGAAAUGCGCAGAUAUCAGGAGGAACACCAAUGGCGAAGGCAGCACUCUGGGACGUGACUGACGCUGAGACGCGAAAGCGUGGGGAGCAAACAGGAUUGAG
rnacentral:rRNA from 1 species